GCGGAACUGUGGGAGGCAGUGGAGUCGGCUGCCGCCGGGCUCCUGACCACAAGGGGGCGCAUCUCCUCCACUGUCUCCCGCAGCCUGAGAACUGCGCUGCUAUUGUGGACGGAGGAGCAGUCACUGACACGGAAGCUGCCUCCUGUAGGGAGAGAUGGCACUGGCUGCAGCUAGGGGGAGCUCCAGAGCACAGCUCCUCUUCUAGCCAGCCGAGGGAAGCUCUCUGCUCCGUCAGCCUGAUGAUGAAAGCCAAAGACAGAUGAAUCCCACCCUGCCCGUUUUUGUGCGCCCUACCAACCCGCCGUUUUCUGCCUGCCGUACCCCGCCACGCCGCCAGACCCAGCCGUGCGCCGCCGGACCCGCACCUGGCUACCACUGCUUGUAAGGCAAAGAAUGAAUGGUUACUGAAUAGCAAGAGUCCAACAACACAAGACUUUGUGGAUCAGAAGCUACAGCUGGAAAGCUCAAUGCAGCCCAUAUUCACAAAGCUGAACACACCACGGAAGAGGAAUAGAAUAUAAAAUACUCAGGGGCAGAUGUAUUAAACCUGGAGA